CCUACGGGCGGCAGCAGUGGGGAAUAUUGCACAAUGGGGGGAACCCUGAUGCAGCGACGCCGCGUGGGUGAGGAAGUACUUCGGUAUGUAAAGCUCUAUCAGCAGGGAAGAAAAUGACGGUACCUGACUAAGAAGCCCCGGCUAACUACGUGCCAGCAGCCGCGGUAAUACGUAGGGGGCAAGCGUUAUCCGGAUUUACUGGGUGUAAAGGGAGCGUAGACGGCGUGCCAAGUCUGGUGUGAAAGGCCGGGGCUCAACCCCGGGACUGCAUUGGAAACUGGCAGGCUGGAGUGCAGGAGGGGCAAGCGGAAUUCCUAGUGUAGCGGUGAAAUGCGUAGAUAUUAGGAGGAACACCGGUGGCGAAGGCGGCUUGCUGGACGGUAACUGACGUUGAGGCUCGAAAGCGUGGGGAGCAAACAGGAUUAGAUACCCUGGUAGUC
rnacentral:rRNA from 1 species